AUGGGAUGGGAUGGGAUGGGAUGGGAUGGGAUGGGAUGGGAUGGGAUGGGAUGGGAUGGGAUGGGAUGGGAUGGAACAGGAUAUUUCCCUGGAAGGGAUCUACAAGAGCUGCAGGAUUUAAGCAGCACCACUGCCAUCAGAGCUGGGAAGCAGCCUCCUCUCCUUUGCAAAGCAUGGGACAAUCCCAUGGAAUGCUGGAAUCAUUCAGGUUGGAAAAGCCCUCUGAGAGUCUCAAAUCCAGCCAUGCCCAGCACUGCCCUGUGCCCCCAAGUGCCACAUGCCCCCAAGUGCCACAUGCCCAGGGCUGGUAAACCCCCAGGGUGGGGGCUCAGCCCUGCCCUGGGCAGCUGCUCCAGCACUCCCAUUUUCCAUGAGAACUUCCCUGGCACAGCCUCAGCCAAUGGCUCCCAUCCUGCCCCCAAUCCCUGGGAGCAGAGCCCCAUUCCCACCCUCUCCAUCCCCCAGAGCCCCAUUCCCACCCAGAGCCCCAUUCCCACCCAGCUCCAGCCCCCCAGAGCCCCAUUCCCACCCUCUCCAUCCCCCAGGGCCCCAUUCCCACCCAGAGCCCCAUUUCCACCCUCUCCAUCCCCCAGAGCCCCAUUUCCACCCUCUCCAUCCCCCAGAGCCCCAUUCCCACCCUCUCCAGCCCAGGGCCCCUCUGGGUGCUGCUGCAGCCUCUGGCAGGGCUUUGCGAGGGCCCCAGCGAUUCCCAGCUCUGACAAUGAACCUCCCUGGCCGAGCCACGAGGGAGGGACACCCCUGGGGCAGCAGCAGCUGCAGGGAACAUCUGAGAGCACCAAACGUGGCCAGGAGGAGCUCUGGCACCAGGAAAGUGCCAAAGCAGCAGGACUGGCCCAAGCUGCUCUUCCCAGCCUUCAUCCCACAGCCUCUGUGCCCAUGCCUGUCGCUCUUGGACACGAAAUGAGCACACAGGAGCUCGGUGAGCUGAAGAGAGAAAAAGAGCAAAUUUUAUUUCUGACCUCGCAAUAUAAAGAGUUCCAAAAGUGGCAGUGGACUGGAGGAUGGGAUUGCCACCUCUCCAACCACACUGGUCAAACCAACAGCCCAUCAAUUCUCCUCUCACAGACAAGAAUGCAAAACAAUCAUUAUUUACAUCAACAGUGCCUGAGAACUUCAGUAGAAAUCUGUAACCAUCAGCAGAAGGCUGAAGGAGUUUUAUGA
rnacentral:lncRNA from 1 species